UACGUAGGUGGCGAGCGUUGUCCGGAUUUAUUGGGUUUAAAGGGUGCGUAGGCGGCCCUGUAAGUCAGUGCUGAAAUAUCCCGGCUUAACUGGGAGGGUGGCAUUGAUACUGUGGGGCUAGAGUACAGAUGAGGUAGGCGGAAUUGACGGUGUAGCGGUGAAAUGCUUAGAUAUCGUCAAGAACACCUAUAGCGAAGGCAGCUUACUAAGCUGUAACUGACGCUGAGGCACGAAAGUGUGGGGAUCAAACAGG
rnacentral:rRNA from 1 species